rnacentral:tRNA from 1 species
CUCCACGGAGGAUCAAUUAAAUGAGAAACACCCAUACUAUGGGCCCUGGGCUUUAUUUCCUAUCA